GACGUAGGGGGCGAGCGUUGUCCGGAUUUAUUGGGCGUAAAGCGCGCGCAGGCGGUUCGGAAAGUCGGAUGUGAAAAUCCGGGGCUCAACCCCGGACCUGCAUCCGAUACUCUCGGACUGGAGGCAGGUAGGGGAGAGCGGAACUGAUGGUGGAGCGGUGAAAUGCGUUGAUAUCAUCAGGAACACCGGUGGCGAAGGCGGCUUUCUGGGUCUUACCUGACGCUGAGGAACGAAAGCUAGGGGAGCGAACGGG
rnacentral:rRNA from 1 species